rnacentral:lncRNA from 1 species
GGAAGUUUUUCAACGCCAUUGAUAGAUAGCGAAUAUAGUGUGGAAUUACGAGUACGUUUCUCAAUUAGUAGUGAGUACAAUUCUGCUUUAAUCACUGUUCGGUUACUUUAAUUAGUCGAAAAAUGUAAGUAACAUUAACGUUACAAAUGAUUUGAAAAAUGCUUUUUGAACGAUUUUAGCCUUUGAUAUCUAGAUAUAGAUAGCGCUAAGGUGCACACAUAUUUUAAAGAUACUACUAGAAAGGUGAACGUUUACGCAUGCACAUACAUGAUAGUGAUUUUGUGAUUGACUUAUCAGAAGAACAAUUUUAUUGAUUUCUUUAAUUUUUAUCCCUGUUUUGAAUAUAUAGAUAUCCCAAAUUAUAAAUAGGAAUAUAUAUAUUUCUGAUACGAGGUUAAACAAUGUCAGUGAGUUUGUUGACUGUUGUUAUCUCAUUUAAAAAAAUAUUUAUAUAACUACUGUAUGUAAGCAUGAAACCUAUGUAGUUUUUAUUUAGGUAUUCAGGAAAAUACAACUUUGUUAGAUAGACAACAUAUGCCAAACAAAAAGCACCUUAAUAAGGUUUUAUUACCCUCAGUAAUAGUAGACUGUUUCAGACUGGUCGAGUAAUAUUUUCAAUAGCAAAUAUAAUUGUCAAGUACAAAUCAGUACAGCCGAAUGUGGUUGAGACUGGGUCGAGUUAUAUUAAAUAAAUUUCAGACCAAUUCAAAUUGGUAGAGGAAAAAUCAGAACAGUUGAGUAUAGAUAUAGGCCAUGUUCGACUUUUACUGGUUUGUAGUGGACGCUACAGGUAAAAAUUGUCAGUAAUGGAGGCAUUGUAACGACUGCAAUUAAAACUUAGUGUCAGAAAGCGAACAGACUAAAAACAAAAAUAUUGGAAUAUCAGGCUAGAUGCACAGAGUCAGACACUAUCGCUAAAAAUAGUUAACAUCUACUGCUAUAAAUGAAAAACAAAUAAUCAUACCUUAAUCAUUUCAAAGUUAUAAUCAGUAAAAUGAAAUAAAUAGUAGUACCUCUGUGCGAAUUUUCAUGUAAAAGAGGGACAUCAAUUAUUGGAAAAGUCAUGAAUAAGAUACAGAAUUAAAAUCCAGGAGAGGAACAUGCAGAAGCCUGUUUGUCACUUGUGGUAAAUUUGUGAUGUAACUUAUUUACAUUUACUUAAUAUUAGAAACGACGAUCUUUGUAAUUUACAUGGAAGAACUUUUGGGGAGAGGAACUUUAUCCUUUGCAUGUAUAAGAUAAACUAUUAUAAAACAAAUACUAAACCUGCACGAACGUAAAGUCGUUUCUCGUAAACGUUGAACAAAUUUUCUCAUAAUUUACUCGCCACAUUGAAAAUAAUAUACUUUGAUGUAUACACAUGAUAAAAUUGGCAUGAUUGAAAUAAAUGGGUCAUUUUACACAGCUGUCUUAACAAAGUAGAAGUAUUGCAAAAUUUGACACCGAGGCCUUACUCAGAGGGUUAUUUUACACAUUAACAUAUUUGAAAAAUACAUUUUGUAACAAAAUAUCUUUUUAAAUAGAACAUGUGAUUAUAACUUAAUGUUAUUUGCAAGAUAUAAAGAUUGUAAUUUAUUUGCAGUUUUUUUUACAUUCGUUACCGUAAGACAUACAGUUAAAACCAGAGAGAAAAUAUGUGUCAAGUUUGAAAUGUAUUCCUAAAGUUAUCAAUGAAAAUGGAGUUAAAAUCUUUGAUCAAUUCAAAAUAAUGGAAGAACAGAGAAAUUUCUAUAAAAUUUGUACUCAUCUAAAAAUGCAUUUUGUAAAAUGGAGCAUGAAAAUAUAUUUUUCAACAAAAUUAAUUCUUAUAUCAAUUGUUUAUCAGAAGAACAAAUGUUAGAAGCUGAGGGAAAAUUAUCAAAUUUCUGAAUGCCUUAAAAAGACAUGAAAAAUGAUUAAUUACCAGGGGUAGAUGGAUACACAGCAGAGUUUUAUAUUUUUUUCGAGAAUGACCUUUUAAAGUUAUAUUUACUUAAUUUGUUUAUCAUAGCUUUAGAGAAAGCUUUUUAUCAAUUGCACAAAGACAAGGCAUGGUUACAUGCAUCCCAAAAGAAGGGAAAUCUAAGUUUUAUUUGAAAACCUAGCGACCUUUCACUCUUUUAAGUAUUUUUAUAUUGGGGAAUGUACAAGACAUAUUGUUGACUUAAUAGAAAUAACUGAAGAAGAAAACAUACCUGGACUUUAACUCCUGUCAGACUUUGAAAAAGCGUUUGAUACUCUUGAAUUGUCAUUCAUAAAUAAAGCACUUGGAUUCUUAGGUUUUGGUCCUGAUUUCUGUAAUUGGGUAUAAUUUUUAUAUUUCUAUAUCGAAAGUUGUAUCAUAGAUAAUGGUCAUUGCUGUAGUUUCUGUAAUAUAGAAAGAGGGGUUCGUCAAGGGGAUCCCCGUACCUUUUUAUACUGGCUUUUGAAAUGACGAAAUGCAGAAAUGAAAAAUAACAUAGAUACCAAUGAUAUUGAGAUAGACAAAUCUGAGUAUUUGCUAAGUCAAUAUGUAGAUGACUGCACUUUAGAUGAUAUUAAAAAUCGUUAGAGCAAUCUCUAUAUAUUUUAGAAAAGUUCUCUGAGUGUUCUGGUUUACGAGCAAACUUAUGGGUCAUAAGCACAGUCAAAUGAAAUUUUUUCAUCAAGGAGAAAGAUUAAACUAGAAUCAGACAGGGAAAUUUAAACUCUUAUGUAUAAACUAUGACUUUUUGAUGUCGACAAGACUGCCCAUGAUUUUGAAGAGAAAAUUGAAAAGAUAAAGAAAUUAUUAAAUAUUUUUAUCCUGUAAUUGGGUGUUCUGCAGAUACAGCCCUACAGAUAUCGCUAUGCUGUAUUUGUAUUCUAUACAGAUAUCGCUUAAAAGCUCCGCCCACUGCCGUACUGAGUAUUGUAUCAACCUACGUGACCUCAAACACAGCUCGAAACAGGUGUAAUAGCUCGCUUAAAAACUCGCAUACACCUUGUUUUCUAGCCUCGUACAAAUACAGCUGAUAUUUAAAGACACUAAACAGUUAUAGUCUAAGAUUUUACAUACCUAGGAAAAAUAACAGUCAUACAGUUUUUAGAAUCGACAACUCUCAUUCAGAUUUGGUUUAAUACACUUUUAAAAAUUGAUUAUAAAACUAUCUUUAUGAAAAAUGGUGUGAGACAGAUAUAUUUUUUGUCAACGGUUUACUGAAUGAGAACGAUGAGUCUAUCUCUUUUAAUCAUUUUAAAGAAACAUAUGAUAUUAAAACAAAUUUUAUUCAAUUCUGUGGUAUAUAUCAUAUGAUCCCAAUUAGUUGGAAGGACCACACCAAAAACAGUGAAAAGAAAAUCAACAUUACUUGCGAUGAUUUAUACUAUUUAAAAACAAAUUAGAAAUCAUGCCCAUAUUUUUUAAAAUUAUUUUUGUCUACUUAUCAGGAAACCCCCAUAAAAAUCACAAAUUAAAUGGAAUGAAAUUUUGCAUAUGGAAAUCUUUUCUAUAUGCAUCCUUUCAAGCGUCUUUGAGUAUUAAACUGAAAUACAAAAUUCGAUUUAUGCACAAAUGAUUUGCUAUAUAAGUGUAAACUUAAAGUCAUAAGAAACCUCAAAUAAAAAAAAAAGGCAUAUGUUUUUUUUUAUAACUCAAUGGAUAUUCCAGGAAGCAAUUUCCCGACAUAUUUUCUGUAUGCAAAGUGACCCCAGUGUGACCCAUCUCGUAAAAGUCCGGCUUCAGAACACGAACUUUAAUUACCUGCCAUAUUUUCACAACAACACUGACCGAUUGAAAAAAAAAAUUGACGAUUAUACGAAGUUGAUGCGAAAAAAAAAAUGACAAAAUCGUGCACAGAAUGUUUGUAUGCAUUGAUUCAAGAAUUGGAAUAACGCUAUUUUUCACCGGUCACUCGUUUAUUAUGACUUUUAAGAAACACUCCUAUGCAGUUUUUUGCAAUGAGACAAAAGAGACACUAGAACAUAUAUUUUGGGAAUGUUACAUUGUCAAAAAUAUAUGGCUUCAAUUAGUUGAUACAUUACAUUCGGAUUGCAAUUAUGAGCUUCUGAUAUCAAAACAAAACAUCCUCAUGGGAUCAGAUAGACAUAUUUUUUUUUUUUUUUCACUGUUCUCCUACAAGUACUAUAUUUAUUCUUAGAUUGAACUCAUUGUUACCUUGUGUUAAGAUUGCACUAAAGAAAUUGAAAAAUUAUUAUAGGUUUGAAAAACUAUCUUCCACUUUUCACAGUACUCCUGCAAUAAAAUUAACGGUACCAAUUUUCUUGCACCAGAUGCGCAUUUUUCGAAAAUACAAUGUCUUCUUCAGUGAUGCUCGUGGCCAAAAUAUUUGAAAUCCAAAGCUUAUAUAAAAGAUGAAGAGCUAUAAUCCAAAAGGUCCAAAAAGUAUAGCCAAAUCCGUGAAAAGAAUCAGAGCUUUGCAUGAGGGAGAUACAUUCCUUAAAUUUAAAAUAAUUUCUAAUAUUUUUGUAACAGCAAUUUUAAUAACACAAAAAAUCCGUAUUUUCAUGCCAGUACCGAAGUACUGGCUACUGGGUUGGUGAUACCCUCGGGGACUAAUAGUCCACCAGCAGAGGCAUCGACCCAGUGGUAGUAAUAAAAUUAACGGUACCAAUUUUCUUGCACCAGAUGCGCAUUUCGACAAUACAUGUCUCUUCAGUGAUGCUCGUGGCCAAAAUAUUUGAAAUCCAAAGCUUAUAUAAAAAUGAAGAGCUAUAAUCCAAAAGGUCCAAAAAGUAUAGCCAAAUCCGUGAAAGGAAUCAGAGCUUUGCAUGAGGGAGAUACAUUCCUUAAAUUUAAAAUAAUUUCUAAUAUUUUGUAACAGCAAAUUUUAAUAACACAAAAGAAUCCGUAUUUUCAUGCCAGUACCGAAGUACUGGCUACUGGGUGGUGAUACCCUCGGGGCUAAUAGUCCACCAGCAGAGGCAUCGACCCAGUGGUAGUAAUAAAAUUAACGGUACCAAUUUUCUUGCACCAGAUGCGCAUUUCGACAAUACAUGUCUCUUUAGUGAUGCUCGUGGCCAAAAUAUUUUGAAAUCCAAAGCUUUAUAUAAAGAUGAAGAGCUAUAAUCCAAAAGGUCCAAAAAGUAUAGCCAAAUCCGUGAAAGGAAUCAGAGCUUUGCAUGAGGGAGAUACAUUCCUUAAAUUUAAAAUAAUUUCUAAUAUUUUUUGUAACAGCAAAUUUUAAUAACACAAAAAUCCGUAUUUUCAAUGCCAGUACCGAAGUACUGGCUACUGGGUUGGUGAUACCCUCGGGGUGAAACAAUAGGUAUAAUAAGAACCAUUUCAAUAACUAAUUGUAUGAUACAAGAUUGUCAAGAAAGAUAACUCAUACUUAAGUGACAGUGGCUAGUGUACAUCUGAUAGAUGAUAUAUAUAUAUAUAUAUAUAUAUAUAUAUAUAUAUAUAUAUAUAUGUGUGUAUUUAAUAGGAAUUAAAAUACUGUUUUAUAUGAUUUCCAUAUAUUGUCGGGAAAAGAAAAUAACAACAAAAUACAAAUGUAUGUCACCAUAAAUAUAAUUUUCUUUAUGAGUACAUGUACGAAAAGAAAAUAACUGUUGUUAUAAUAAUAAUCAUAGAAAUGUGUAUCAAUAAGAAUCUUAAUCUUUUAAUAUCAAUUUAAUCGUAAAUGAAAUAUAAGGCAUUGAUUUUUUACUUACUUUUUUUUUGUGUAUUUUUGAAUUGUUUUGUUCUGUUACUUUUUUUUAUUUUCUUUUUUUGUAUGGGAGGGGGUAAUAAUAAAAUCGCUGACAGUGACAGAUCUAAAUGAAUAAACAUGUAUUGUAUUCCUUUUUUAUUGAAAAAAUGCAUAUAGGAGAUGAAAAAAUAUUAAAUAAAGAAUUAUAAAAAAAAGUUUGAAAAAGGUCAAUACAGAUGUCCCAAAGAAUACUAUCGAAUAUCUGAAGGAUAUUAUGUGAUAUUUUGACUAUACUGUUUUGUUCUUUCCUGUGGAUCAGUUAAGGAAUUGUUAUAUCAAUACUGAUCAUACUUGGAGUAACUCGAAUAUAAAGGGAAAUAACUCAAAUACAGUAAUAUUUAUAUUAGAAUUUGCUAUGAAUUUACCUAUUUAAUUUGGUAUCAAGAAAACAAGUUCGGUGACCCCUAUUUUCCGUUCUCUUAUCUGAAAGCAUAUUAUUAAAGCUAUCUUCUCAUAUUUUAUCUUUAAAUUCUAUGGGGUAGUUUUCUUUUUAUAACACAAAAUUGGAAUUCCAUACAUAAUCUCGUGAAAACAAAGCUCGGUAACCAAUACUGUUUUUUUUUUGAAAAAGGCAAGAAUUAAACUACAUUUUGACAAAUUAUAAAAGAAUUAUAUGGAUUUUAAUUUAGACUGCUAUCUACCUUAAAAAGAAAAUAUUGACAACCUUGAAAGGGAAAUAAGCGUACACCAUUUAAUUUUCUGACUCGAUUAAAAAAGAACACCAAGUAAACACAAUGAUUAACAUAUAUAUUGUUAACCCAUAAUAAGAAAUCAAACAAACACCAAAUUGCACUUGUUCUCUAUCUAUUUAUAUUUAUAUUGAAGUUCAUAUUGGGUUAUAUUAACGUCGUAAUCUUCAGAGGUCAAAUCGAUGGUUAAUUAGACGUCGUCUAAAUUAAAUUACAAACGAAAUGAUGAUACAAAUUAUAAAGCCCAAGCAUAUUAAUUUUGAGACUUUUUAUAAUUUGGAUAUAUGUUUUAGCUUUUAUCAAUGACAUUUGAAUAUGAAUAUGAACUUGACAGCUAAUGCCCCUUAAAUUGCCGGGAGAAAAAAAUACCCACUUAUGAUAUGUGUAUACUUAGCUGACAUUUCCGUAUGGCAAUAUUCUUUAAUUCAUGCACUAUUGAUCAAAAGUUGGUCUGCAUCAACAUGAUCAAGGAAAUAAAAGAAUUCUUGGUAAGUUUUCAUAACGUGAUAUAAAUUAUAGAAUUUGAAGUAAUUCCAUUGGGAAAGAAAUUUGUGUUGUUCUAUUUAAAAAGUAUUUGCAGUUUUAUUUUUUUCUUAUUUCGUCGAUGGGCUUCAAAAAUGUUGUAAAUUACAAAUUUUUGCGAGAAAAAAAUAUCUCACAAACAGGCUUUGAAAAUUUUGGCAAAAUGUAUGCUUCCAAAAUGUCGUAUGUGAACUUGAACAUUUUAAAAAUAGCAGUGAAAUAAAAACUUUGACAUUCUGGAUUAUCCAAGUCCUUAAAUUAUUUUCAAGGAGAAUAAAGAAAUGUACAAUUUUUUCCCCCAAAGCCAUUCUACAACGACUUAUAAGUUUUCAUACAACAUUUUAGAAGCAAAUUUUAUAAACAACUGACAUUGGCAAUUUUGUAAUAUGUCUUAUUUACACAUUUUAGUAGGUCUAACUGUAUGCUAUUUUGUAAAACCAAAGAUUUCCUCCCGCCCAGACCACAGGUGUCAAAAAGUAUUUUAGUCAAAUAAAGUCAUAUACGACAUGUUAGAAGCCCAGCGACGAUUUGUCAAAUCGAUUAAUAUUGUCACAACUACCAUUUCUUUGUAUGUAUGACUUUUAUUUGAUAUGUCAUUUUUUACCUUUUGUUUCUUUAUUCAAAAAGUCUGAAAAUGUGUUUCAGAGUCGUUAUGUCUGAUUCCGCAGCACUGUGUGGUGUAUGCUGUCGUCGUCACCUUUCUAAACCAACAACAGUCUGGUGUCGGGAUUGUGAUGAAGGACUUUGUCAAGAUUGCAAAGAAUAUCAUAGCUUUCUGAAAGUGACAAGCCAUCAUCACAUGAUUUCCUUCAAGGAGUAUCAGACAUUACCCCGGAACGUGUUAGAAAUAAGGAAGUAUUGUGUAACGCACGAAGAACGUUUCAAAACAUUUUGUAAAACACAUGGCUGUCCAUGCUGUAAAACAUGUCUAAUUGAAACACACAACAACUGCAAAGAUUUAAUCGAAAUUGAAGAAUAUAUAAAUGAUAGUAAGUUCUCUGCUAGAUUAACUGACCUUGAGGACAUGCUCGAUGAAACAGUUGUAAACGUUAAAAAACUUCGGAUCAGUAGGCAGAAAAAUCUAACAUCACUUCAGGAAGACAGAAAGAAAAUAGAAAACGAAAUUGUACAGACUAGGAUUAUGAUUAAUAACCACCUAGAUAAGCAACAAGCCGAUUUAAUUCAAGAUUUGUAUGAGAAAGAAGCAAGCGAAACCCACAAAAUACAACAGCUAUUAAAUUCGUUAGAAGAGAGAGAGGGUAAAUUAAUGGAAUGUCAAAAUAUGUUUAUAAACAUAAAGAAACAUGCGUCUGAAGUUCAGCUUUUUCUUUCAAUGAAACAAAUAGAAAUAGACAUAGUGAAACAUCAAGAAUUCGUCCAAUCAAUAAUCGACAGCAAGAGUCUGCGCCAGGCUGUGUUGGUAUUGAAGCCAACAAUUGACACGGAAUACAUUACUUCAAGUAUUCCGUACAUAGGAAAACUGGAUAUUGAAUACUCUCAGAUUCAAGUUUGUUUCACUAAAAAGAAGCAAGCUCAGAUGGUGGCGACGAAACCGACAACAAAGUCAAUUGAAAAUAUUGCCCUUGAGUUCCAAAAGAAGAUAACAGCAUAUGAAUUUCCAGUAAAGGCGGGUACACAACUUCCAAAUGGUAAAUUUGCAGUUGUCAAUGAGAUUGGAAACAGUAUUAUAGUAGUAAAACCUGACGGGUCAUGUGACUUUAAGAUCGAAUUAAAACCGUAUUUUGCGUUUGAUAUUACAUAUAUUCCCGAUGAUAAUACUAUUGCCGUCACAUCUAAUGAUUGCAACGAUAUCAAAAUAGUCGAUGUAUAUACGCGAAAAGUACUGAAAACAUUUUCAGUGUUUUCUUUAUGUGCAGGAAUAACUUAUUCAAAUGGAAAACUGAUGUUCUGCUCAAUGCAAAAUCGAAUACUCGAGUUGAACCAAAGUGAUGGAUCAGUGAAGACAAUUGUAUUUGGCGAAAUUUCCGAAAAUUCGCACAUAACUACAUUUGAAGAUAUGAUAUACUUCACUAACACAGAUAAUCACUCAAUAACAUGUUGUGAUCUUUCAGGAAGAAUACAUUGGACAUUCCAAAAUCGGGGGAUUUACCAUCCCGUCGGUGUUACCGUAGACACUGACGGAAACGUGUUCGUCGCUAGCAAUAACUCUCACAAGGUUUUUGUCAUAUCUCCGGACGGACAACAACACAAACAACUGUUAUCACCCAAGGAUUGUGUCCAGUAUCCAAAUGGUUUGAUGUAUGACAGAGAUAACAAUCGGUUACUUGUUACAAGUCAUCACGAAGGUGCAGUUCUGUAUAGAGUUACAUAGAUAGAAAAACAUUAUACAAAAAAUACUGUUUUGAGUUCCCUUACAAAAUAAUGCUGAAGUUUAUACCAAAAGUCAUUCUCGUUUUCAAAUUAAAGCUGUGACCUAGAUAAAAAAACAAGAUUAACUUGUAUUAACUUAUAAAAGAAACCAUGCUCAUAUGUUUGCACGCCAAUUGCUUGUUUUAUCUUUUUACUAUAUAACACGUAUCAGAGCGCUAAAUUAAACCGUUGGGAUUCAAAACGAAAUAUAA